rnacentral:lncRNA from 1 species
UUUGGUUUACACCCGUUGCCAUGACGACGUGCCAGGUACUACGGCCUGACAUUCAGACUUCGCCAGACGACGAACUGUAAAGCUUUUUCCUCGCGCAUCACGCCGCCGCCACGUCCAAUUCACGGCGCUCGGGAUACACCUCAUGGAUCGUGAAAGCCAUUCCCUUGCGUCAAAUUGCCGCGGGAAUAUUUCCGAAGCAAUUAAUAAAAGAAAAAAAAGAGGAAAAUCUCGACCCGCCCGAGAGCAACAGUUGGCAACUCGUGCGUACGGCGUGAGAGAAGUUUAGUUUGGCCGAAGCAACCGUGGAGUGAACACACUGACUCUCGCGUCCUUUCGCCGCUCUUUCAAUCUCUCUCUCGCCUCUGCUAUUUCAUUCUAAAAAUCUAGAGUGAAAUAGAGAAAUGGACUAAAGGGACAGGAAAGUGUAUUUUGAAAAUUAAUAGUGCAAAAUAUCAGAAUCGUAUAAUCCUCAGCGUAUAUUUGUGAAAGCGUACUUCAUAUGGGUCAACAUAGUGUUAUUCUCAAAGUGUUAAACAAAGCGAUUAAAGAGAUAUAUAUUGUUGUUAAUUAGUGAUGUGUUAAAGAUGUAUCAAGGGCAACAAAGUGUGUGAUUGCGAAGUUUAAAAUUGCCCUGCUUCUCCAGCCCCCCCCCCCCCUUAAAAGAUUAAAAUUGAUCUAGGCCCAACGUACGUAUUAAUAUAUAUAUCACAACUCCAGUAUCCCGCAGCCCCAUUUCUCUAGUGUGCUUAAGCAGGCGCUCGCAAAUAAAACAAAUAAAUAUAACAACGGCAAACCCAAAAAAAUCGAGACAAAAAUCGAAGCCAACUAGUUUUCCAAAAAAAAAAAAAAGAUGAUAUAGUGACCCCCAAAAAGCGUGAUGGUGUGCCAAAUGUGUGUAUGAGGGACAGAACAUCCCACCCGUGACCUCACACUGCCUAAUACUCGUGCGAGAUCGGACAACACCUGUAGCAGCUGUCAGGCGGCCGGAGACACCUGCGACCCACGGCACUCAUAUAAGGUGAGCGCGGCCGUCGCGGCCUGUCGUCGGGAGAUCAUGUGGCCAGACGUUGGGUGAGGCUGGUUGUAUAUAUAUGAGAAGAGAGAGAGAGAGAGAGAGAGAGAGAGAGA